CACAGACAAAAAGGUAAAGCAACUUUGUGUUUGCUUUACAUUGGAGUGUGUGGAAUCAUACCUUGUUUUACCUGCUCCAACAUGUCAUACACACCUGCAGGGGAAGAGGUGAUGCAUAAACACACACACACACACACACACACACACACACACACACACACACACACACACACACACACACACACACACACACACACACACACACACACACACACACACACACACACACACACACACACACACAAUACUCCUUGUGCUCCACCCUGCCUUAAAAAAGUACCACAGGCAAAUAGUCAACUGACAGUUUAGUGACUGUUUUACAAGCAGUGGCAGGGAGUCAUUAGUGUGGUUUGUACACAUGCUGAUACACACACACACACACACACACACACACACACACACACGCACACACCUAGCGAAGAGGCUGUUUGGGAACAAGUUGAAACAGAUCACUCUUUCAUGCUGAACCAGGCAGCCUCUGUGUACCUUUGCUCCCCAGUGGUGUUUACCUCUUCUCCUUCCUGCUCUCUCUGCCACGUCAAAUGACUGCAUGGGUGCUUGGCUUGCUCCUCCGGUAGCCUCGUGGCCAGACAACUUGACUGUGGUCACUCGACUCUGGGUCUGAAGAGUCAGAUACAGCUGGCUGGAAGACUCCUGUCUAUUCACAUCUCUACUUUUUGCCACUGAUAUUUUUCCUUUGUCCGUUUACUGGAACUCGGCUGACACCUGGGAGAUAAACAGAUGUGGUCUGUGGAAACUGUCAGAUUGAAGACUCAUCCUUACCCAAUGGCUUAGGAAAUAUAUAAAGAGGGUCUGUCAGAGCUAUGGGAAUCUGAAGAGCAUUUGUGUAUUUCUUUAAGUUAUUCAGCUGAAAAUGAGUGGAUUUCUUUAUAGAGGAAGGCAUUGCGGUGCAGAUAAAGAGGUCAGGCUGAAGACCAUUGGACCUAUGAUGGAUUUUUCAUGUGAUGAAACAGACAAAGGCCCGCCGGUACAGAUGCACAGCCUCAGAGAGUUUGAACAGAGUGGAGUUGGCCCAGGCGCUUGCUUGUCCCCAUUGUGGAGACUGGCUGACGUAAGGCAGCAUCAGGAGACCAACAUGAAAGAAA
ensembl:lncRNA